rnacentral:rRNA from 1 species
UACGUAGGGUGCGAGCGUUGUCCGGAAUUACUGGGCGUAAAGAGCUCGUAGGUGGUUUGUCGCGUCGUCUGUGAAAUUCCGGGGCUUAACCUCGGGCGUGCAGGCGAUACGGGCAAUACUUGAGUGCUGUAGGGGAGACUGGAAUUCCUGGUGUAGCGGUGAAAUGCGCAGAUAUCAGGAGGAACACCGAUGGCGAAGGCAGGUCUCUGGGCAGUAACUGACGCUGAGGCACGAAAGCGUGGGGAGCAAACAGGAUUAGAUACCCG